UUGGGGAAAUGUGAUUAGGGGAGACUCACAUCAGGCAGCUGUAACAUAGGCAGCUAUCUAUAACCUAUGUUUCUCUUUAUAGAUUAGACUUCUUCCUUACCUACAUGGUUUUAUAAAAUGUUGUAAAUGACUAAAGAUUUUGUUGAUCUUUUCAAAAAACCAGCUCCUGGAUUCACUGAUUUUUUGAAGAGUUUUUUGUGUCUCUAUCUCCUUCCGUUCUGCUC
rnacentral:lncRNA from 10 species